GGGGAUGUAGCUCAGUGGUAAAGCACUUGCCUAGCAUGCAUGCGGCCCUGGGUUUGAUCCUCAGCACCACAA
rnacentral:tRNA from 1 species